rnacentral:rRNA from 1 species
AGAGUUUGAUUCUGGCUCAGGAUGAACGCUAGCUACAGGCUUAACACAUGCAAGUCGAGGGGUAGCAGGGUAGCAAUACCGCUGACGACCGGCGCACGGGUGAGUAACACGUAUCCAACCUUCCCAUAACUCAGGGAUAGCCUUUCGAAAGAAAGAUUAAUACCUGAUAGUACUUUUUCAAGGCAUCUUGAAAAAGUUAAAGAUUUAUUGGUUAUGGAUGGGGAUGCGUUCCAUUAGAUAGUUGGUGAGGUAACGGCUCACCAAGUCUUCGAUGGAUAGGGGUUCUGAGAGGAAGGUCCCCCACAUUGGUACUGAGACACGGACCAAACUCCUACGGGAGGCAGCAGUGAGGAAUAUUGGUCAAUGGGCGAGAGCCUGAACCAGCCAAGUAGCGUGAAGGAAUGAAGGUCCUAUGGAUUGUAAACUUCUUUUAUAGUAGAAUAAAGUGAGCCACGUGUGGUUUUUUGUAUGUAUACUAUGAAUAAGGAUCGGCUAGCUCCGUGCCAGCCGCCGC